GGAUGUGAGGGCCAUCUGGCUGCGAUAUCUGUCACCCCAUUGAUCGACAGGGUUGAUUUGGCUGAUCUGGCUGGCUAGGCAGGUGUAACCUUCCUCCCUCAACACUCCUCCUGAAGCUGCACUCUUGGUCAAAGAAGAUGGCCUUCUCGGAACAGAGAAGGGCCCAUCUUCAGUCCAGAGUAUGCAAGUAGCUGCGCUCCCCUGCUAGAACCUCCAAACAAGCUCUCAAGGUUCAAAUUCAUGGUCAGGCACCAGUAAGUGUUUCAUGCCUU
rnacentral:snRNA from 1 species